UACGGAGGAUCCGAGCGUUAUCCGGAUUUAUUGGGUUUAAAGGGUGCGUAGGCGGCUUAUUAAGUCAGGGGUGAAAUACGGCAGCUCAACUGUCGCAGUGCCUUUGAUACUGAUAAGCUUGAAUGUGGUUGAAGAUGGCGGAAUGAGACAAGUAGCGGUGAAAUGCAUAGAUAUGUCUCAGAACUCCGAUUGCGAAGGCAGCUAUCUAAGCCAUUAUUGACGCUGAUGCACGAAAGCGUGGGGAUCAAACAGGAUUAGAUACCCUGGUAGUCCACGCCCUAAACGAUGAUAACUCGAUGUUAGCGAUACACAGUUAGCGUCUUAGCGAAAGCGUUAAGUUAUCCACCUGGGGAGUACGCCCGCAAGGGUGAA
rnacentral:rRNA from 1 species